GGGGAUAUGAUAGUUAUUUUUCAUCUUAUAGCUCAAAUUCAAGAGGUGUAGCAGUUAUGUUUAAUAACAACUUUGAGUUUAAGGUCCUAAAAGAAAAAAAAAGAUGUUGGUGGCAAUUAUUUAGUAUUAGACUUAGUUGUUGAUACUUUACAUUUUACAUUUGUAACUAUUUAUGGACCAAAUAUAGAUACUCCAAUUUUUUAUGAUCAAAUUAUGUCAAUUAUAGAUGAUUUUGGUAAUGAUAGCUAUAUGAUAUGUGGUGAUUUUAAUCUUGUUCUCAACCCUGAUAUAGACUAUUUUAACUAUUUACAUGUAAAUAACCCAAAUGCUCGGGAGAAAGUUUUAGAAAUCAUUCAGGAAAGGUGUCUCAUUGACCCUUUUCGUGAACUUUACCCAGAUUUGAAGCGUUUCACAUGGAGAAAAAGAACCCCCUUUAAACAAGCAAGGCUAGAUUUUUUUCUUUUAUCUGAAGAUUUACUAUGCUGUUUGAAAAAUUGUAAUAUUGAGCCUAGCUAUCGCUCUGAUCAUUCUAUGGUUGUAUUAAAUCUAGAAUUUAAUCCUUUUGAUCGAGGUAGAGGAUUGUGGAAAUUUAAUAAUUCAUUAUUGUAUGAUCCAGAAUAUAUAAAGAUUGUUAAAGAAAAAAUAGUAGAAGUUAAAAAACAAUAUGUAACACCUUUUUAUGAUAUAGAUAGAAUUGAAGACAUGAAUAAUGAAGAUCUCCAUUUUAAUAUUAACAGUCACUUAUUUCUUGAGACAAUGUUGAUGGAAAUUAGAGGUAAAACUAUAUCUUAUUCAAGUUAUAAGAAAAAGGUAAAAGAAAAACAAGAGAAAGAUCUUAGAAAUGAAAUUCUUAUUUUGGAAGAAAAGGUAGAUGAAGGUUCAAUACAGAUUUUGGAAAAUAAAAAAUGUGAAUUAGAAAAUAUAAGAAAAGAAAAAAUUAAAGGGAAGAUAAUUCGAUCAAGAAUACAAUGGGUAGAAGAGGGUGAAAAACCUACUAGCUAUUUUUGUGGGCUAGAAUCAAAAAAUUUUACAAAUAAGAUAAUACCAAAAGUAGAAAAAGAAAAUGGAGAUGUAAUUUCAAAACAAAAAGAUAUUUUAAAAGAAGUAAAAUCUUUUAUGAAAAUUUAUACAAGAAUAAAGACAAGUCAAAGG
rnacentral:lncRNA from 1 species